rnacentral:rRNA from 1 species
GACGAACGCUGGCGGCGUGCUUAACACAUGCAAGUCGAACGGAAAGGCCCUGCUUUUGUGGGGUGCUCGAGUGGCGAACGGGUGAGUAACACGUGAGUAACCUGCCCUUGACUUUGGGAUAACUUCAGGAAACUGGGGCUAAUACCGGAUAGGAGCUCCUGCUGCAUGGUGGGGGUUGGAAAGUUUCGGCGGUUGGGGAUGGACUCGCGGCUUAUCAGCUUGUUGGUGGGGUAGUGGCUUACCAAGGCUUUGACGGGUAGCCGGCCUGAGAGGGUGACCGGCCACAUUGGGACUGAGAUACGGCCCGGACUCCUACGGGAGGAAGCAGUGGGGAAUAUUGCACAAUGGGCGGAAGCCUGAUGCAGCAACGCCGCGUGCGGGAUGACGGCCUUCGGGUUGAAAACCGCUUUCGCCUGUGACGAAGCGUGAGUGACGGUAAUGGGUAAAGAAGCACCGGCUAACUACGUG